UACGUAGGGCGCAAGCGUUAUCCGGAAUUAUUGGGCGUAAAGAGCUCGUAGGCGGCCUGUUGCGUCCGCUGUGAAAGCCCGGGGCUUAACCCCGGGUCUGCGGUGGAUACGGGCAGGCUAGAGGUAGGUAGGGGAGAAUGGAAUUCCCGGUGUAGCGGUGAAAUGCGCAGAUAUCAGGAGGAACACCGGUGGCGAAGGCGGUUCUCUGGGCAUGAUCUGACGCUGAGGAGCGAAAGUGUGGGGAGCGAACAGG
rnacentral:rRNA from 1 species